rnacentral:rRNA from 1 species
UACGGGGGGAGCAAGCGUUGUUCGGAUUUACUGGGCGUAAAGGGCGCGUAGGCGGCCUGAUAAGUGGGGGGUGAAAUCCUGCGGCUUAACCGCAGGGCUGCCUUCUAAACUGUCAGGCUCGAGCACAGUAGAGGCAGGUGGAAUUCCCGGUGUAGCGGUGGAAUGCGUAGAGAUCGGGAAGAACAUCAGUGGCGAAGGCGGCCUGCUGGGCUGUUGCUGACGCUGAGGCGCGACAGCGUGGGGAGCAAACAGG